rnacentral:rRNA from 1 species
AGAGUUUGAUCCUGGCUCAGAUUGAACGCUGGCGGCAGGCCUAACACAUGCAAGUCGAGCGGUAGCACAGAGAGCUUGCUCUCGGGUGACGAGCGGCGGACGGGUGAGUAAUGUCUGGGAAACUGCCUGAUGGAGGGGGAUAACUACUGGAAACGGUAGCUAAUACCGCAUAAUGUCGCAAGACCAAAGUGGGGGACCUUCGGGCCUCAUGCCAUCAGAUGUGCCCAGAUGGGAUUAGCUGGUAGGUGGGGUAACGGCUCACCUAGGCGACGAUCCCUAGCUGGUCUGAGAGGAUGACCAGCCACACUGGAACUGAGACACGGUCCAGACUCCUACGGGAGGCAGCAGUGGGGAAUAUUGCACAAUGGGCGCAAGCCUGAUGCAGCCAUGCCGCGUGUGUGAAGAAGGCCUUCGGGUUGUAAAGCACUUUCAGCGGGGAGGAAGGCGGUGAGGUUAAUAACCUCACCGAUUGACGUUACCCGCAGAAGAAGCACCGGCUAACUCCGUGCCAGCAGCCGCGGUAAUACGGAGGGUGCAAGCGUUAAUCGGAAUUACUGGGCGUAAAGCGCACGCAGGCGGUCUGUCAAGUCGGAUGUGAAAUCCCCGGGCUCAACCUGGGAACUGCAUUCGAAACUGGCAGGCUAGAGUCUUGUAGAGGGGGGUAGAAUUCCAGGUGUAGCGGUGAAAUGCGUAGAGAUCUGGAGGAAUACCGGUGGCGAAGGCGGCCCCCUGGACAAAGACUGACGCUCAGGUGCGAAAGCGUGGGGAGCAAACAGGAUUAGAUACCCUGGUAGUCCACGCUGUAAACGAUGUCGAUUUGGAGGUUGUGCCCUUGAGGCGUGGCUUCCGGAGCUAACGCGUUAAAUCGACCGCCUGGGGAGUACGGCCGCAAGGUUAAAACUCAAAUGAAUUGACGGGGGCCCGCACAAGCGGUGGAGCAUGUGGUUUAAUUCGAUGCGACGCGAAGAACCUUACCUGGUCUUGACAUCCACAGAACUUUCCAGAGAUGGAUUGGUGCCUUCGGGAACUGUGAGACAGGUGCUGCAUGGCUGUCGUCAGCUCGUGUUGUGAAAUGUUGGGUUAAGUCCCGCAACGAGCGCAACCCUUAUCCUUUGUUGCCAGCGGUCCGGCCGGGAACUCAAAGGAGACUGCCAGUGAUAAACUGGAGGAAGGUGGGGAUGACGUCAAGUCAUCAUGGCCCUUACGACCAGGGCUACACACGUGCUACAAUGGCAUAUACAAAGAGAAGCGACCUCGCGAGAGCAAGCGGACCUCAUAAAGUAUGUCGUAGUCCGGAUUGGAGUCUGCAACUCGACUCCAUGAAGUCGGAAUCGCUAGUAAUCGUAGAUCAGAAUGCUACGGUGAAUACGUUCCCGGGCCUUGUACACACCGCCCGUCACACCAUGGGAGUGGGUUGCAAAAGAAGUAGGUAGCUUAACCUUCGGGAGGGCGCUUACCACUUUGUGAUUCAUGACUGGGGUGAAGUCGUAACAAGGUAGCCGUA